AAAYUGGGAUUAGAUACCCCACUAUGCUUAGCCCUAAAUCAUGAUAUUUCACACAACAUAAAUAUCCGCCAGAGAACUACGAGCUUGUAGCUUAAAACUCAAAGGACUUGGCGGUGUCCCACACCCUACUAGAGGAGCCUGUUCUAUAAGCGAUAAUCCACGAUAAACCUUACCACCCUUUGCCAUAUCAGCCUAUAUACCGCCGUCUCCAGCUUACCUUAUGAAAGCUAAAAAGUAAGCAAAAUAGCCCUCUACAGCUAGUAAGUCAGGUCCAGGUGUAGCCAAUAGAGUGGAUGUAAUGGGCUACAUUUUCUAAAAUAGAAAUAUUCACGAACAGACCCUUGAAACAGGGACUAAGAAGCAGGAUUUAGCAGUAAUCUAGGAAUAGAGAGCCUAUAUUAAGCCGGCCCUGGGACAAGCACACMCCGCCCGUCACCCUC
rnacentral:rRNA from 1 species